AAUCACAAAUAUUCCCUCGUAUCUCUCUUAUCUCUCUUAUCUCUCUCGUUUUCCCUCUCUCUUAUCUCAUUUUCCCCUUUCUUUCAGAACCCUAAAAAAAGAGUCAGUUUGAUUCUACAUCUCGAGACCCUAUCUUUGUCAUUCCCUUUCUUUACCUAGGGUUUGAGACACGAGAGAUAGAAGAGAAGAGAGACGAGACGAAACGGAGACAGAGCUCGGGUGUGUCUUUCUUCAUCUCUGAUACUCUUAUCUCUUUCUCUUCUUCUCCUCGGUCACAGAACAACGAGAUUGACGAGAGGAGGAUGACCAGAAGCUGUGAACGGAUCCAAGCUCAGUUGUGUUGGAUCGAGGAAGAAGCCAACGACUUUGAUUUGGCUCGCCGUAAAUCUGGGUUGGGGCUCGAGAGCGCUAGUGGCUGGAGUGAGGGUUUGUUAUGGAGUUGAUUUCGGCAUCAGAUCUACAGCAGGAGUCUCGGGAGUGGGAAGAGUGGUGAGGCAGAGAUGAGUAGCAGUGGUGAGAAGACAGAGCUUAACUUCGACUUCUUUGGAGAAGAAGAGAAUUUACGACAGUGACAUUGGAGGACUGGAGAAGCAGGUUACUUCAUCCCAUUGUGCUUGUGUGUGUUUCUGUUUUCUCUAGAUGAAGAUGCUCCUGGUCUUUUGCAGGUAUCAUUGUUUUCUUUUCAGAAUUGGAUUUAUGAUUAAGAUUUUAAAAGUUGUGUGUCUGAAUCUGGUGUUUGCAAGUACUGAUUAAACAAGGGGUAACAGUAGAUGAACUCAGUUUAUGGUGAGAAUGAUUAUUAAGAUGAUUCACUUCUUGUGGAGACCUUCUCAGAGCAGGAAUUACAGGUCAGGCUUGAAGUAAUGAGGAAGAAGUGGCGCCUCAAGUCCUUAAAGCUAGCUUAGGCGAUCACUAAAGCUAGAGGCGAGAUUGACCUUCAUCCUAGCCUUAGAGCAUGAGGAGCUAGUUUACCCACAUGACUGGAAUUGAAGCAAAUAAGCAAACUGCUAGAUCAACCAGGGAAAUAUUGCACUAAAGCGAGUUGUGAAAUCUAUAGCAAAGGGAGACUCUCACGUACCCUUUAGAGACAGCAAGUUGACUAUUCUGCUUCAGGACUCUUUUGCCAAUGACAAAUCAAAUAUUCUAAUGAUUCUAUGUGCAAGCUCGGAUCCAAAGGAAAUGUACAAGACUCUUUGCACUCUGGAGUAUGGGGCAAAAGCAAAGUGCAUAGUUCGUGGGUCACAUAUUCCGAACAAGGAUAAGAAUGGGGGUGAUGAGUCUUCUUCUGCUGUGAUUUUGGGAACAAGAAUAUAGCAGCAAUGGAUAAGUAGGAAGAAUAGUAGGUGAUAUCUGAACUUAUAAUUAGCUUGUUUCUUAAGACUUUGCUUUCUGUUUUCAAUAUGCUCUGUAAACCUUACGACUUAUGUAUUAUCUACAUCUUUUAUGAAUGUUUUAGUUGUUCUUAAUGAGUUUUCUCUUCUGAA